GUGAUUCGGACGUUGUCUGUUGUGACACCACCAUCGAUUUCUUCCUCUUUCGGCCGAUACGAAGUGGAAAACUGGUCCGUGUCGAUGGGAGAGGUGUCUGUCUGCUCGGUUCCAGCAACGAAGACGUGGCCUAUCGUUAAUGGAAAUCAGCCACGAAUCGAGCCGGUUUUUCGAUGCGUACCACGCGGAACCGACGACCACACAUAAACGCACCAGACACACCGUGUGGAGAUGCUUCUCGAUGGCGGCCUCGAAUUCUCAGUCCCGGACGACGCCUACACCACCACCACGUACCACCUUAAUAGCUGUGCUUUCCCGGACUCACGGGACUCGACUGGGCUCCGCCAGGCCACGAUAUCCCCGCCGCACUUGCGCCAACCGGCUAUUGCUCCUACCCUUCGCGAAGAUAUACUAACCGUUCCUCGUUCUUACGCCCACCCCCAGCGCAGUUCUAUUACCCGUGCAGACUAACUGAACCCCUGCGGAGCUCCCACGCCCGCGAAACAGCCAAUGCUGGAGCCUCUCCGCAGGACCGUCUAACCUCGACCAAGGGCGCCAACCUACCGAAUACGUUUUCUGUUUCUUAACCAACAUUAUGAUACACCGGUGUAGAAGCAAUGUUUUGUGGUUAUUAAUUAUUGUUAGAAGUAUCGGUGGUAGUAGAAUUAAAAUUCAUUCUUAAAUAAUAAAAACUGAUCGCCGACAAAGGGUUUUUAACAAUACAAAUAAAUAUAAAGUAAGUUUUGUUGAAUAAAAUGAAAUUAAAGUAGAUAAAUAUGUAUAGAUUUUCUACCUAAAGGCUUUGCGUAGGAUUAUUGUAGGUUAAGAAAUAAGGAGAAUUUAUUACGUAGGGAAUACGUUUGUAAAACGAGGGUCCCAAUUCCUCAAUAUACGGGUCUAGCACUCGCCCCGUUGAAUCGUGUUGUGACUGGGUAAACGAACGAAAUACUCUAAUGGUCUACGUUCGUCUGUUUCCAUUUGUUUCUUCGAACCCAUGAAACAAACGACAAUCGCGUGAUAAUAUUUUAAUCAUUGUUUCAUCCCGAUUUUAUAGUAUCACGUCAAACAAAGAGAGUUACAUAUGUAUAACAUUACACAACUUUAAUGACAAGUAUAGAGGGAGGAAAUAGAAGAGGAAUGAGUGUAUAUGUAAAUACACAUCCCUUCACCCGGACCCUUAUGAAGAAACGCGCAAUAGAGAGAAAUAUGAGAUGGGUAAAAACGAAAAGUAUCCAUUUUUCGUGAUUUUCUAUUUAACACAUUUUCACAAUCAUAACACAAAUCACAAUGAUUGUGAUGUUCAAAAUUUCUCUAUAUAAUAGCGUUAAAAUUUGGUGUACUUAAAAAUUGUUUAUUUAACCUAAUCAUACCUACAUAAAAAUAUGAUUACUUCGAAAUAUGCCAUUCUCGAUAAAUUCUUGUGCACGAUUCCGUAACAAGAUAUAAGCAAUUUUUUUUAUACUUAUAUAUUAUUAGUAUCUUAAGAAAAUACAUCGUGUUAUUACUUUCAUGUAAAAUCUAUCUAUAGUUAAAGAGAUUUUUAUCCAUUCCAUUUCUUUAUAAAUAUAUCUUAUGUUAUUUCGUCAAAAUAUUCAGAUAUAGGCGUGGAAAGCGAGCAGCGUUGAUCGUUUGACGAAAAAAUUUGCCGAUUCUUACGCGGGGUUGACCGUUCAAAUUUUUCUCCGUCUCUUUGAAGUUACCGGCUCCGCUGUUCGGCUUAGCUGAUAUCCAUUCCGCGAACAUCGGUCACGGCACGUAAAGGGGCCCACUUGAGCGUUGAUUUCUCAUUGCGGGACAUUGUUCGACGACUUUAACGAUGCAAUUAAUCCUGGAAGCUUGAUCGCUAGAAUACUCUGUCGACAGACGAAAUGUAUGCCUCGUCGAACCGGUGUCGUGCCAGCAGCUUAAUUAAUCAUCAUACGAUAGAACUUAACGACUUAAUCUUAAGGUAAGGUUAUGAACUAUUUAACACACGAGUGUCGUGUCGUCUGUGUCGUGGCAUCGAACAGUUGUUAAAUAUGAGACGACGGGUGUUAAGUUAAUAUUAACAUAUUAUCAAUCCCGCGAAUCUAUGUACUAUGUACAUACUGGCUACCGGGCAUCUUUUGUUUAAGACGUAUAGUAACAUUCUUAUUUAUAUAUCAUAUAGAAAAAAA